GACGAACGCUGGCGGCGUGCUUAACACAUGCAAGUCGAACGGAAAGGCCCUGCUUUUGUGGGGUGCUCGAGUGGCGAACGGGUGAGUAACACGUGAGUAACCUGCCCUUGACUUUGGGAUAACUUCAGGAAACUGGGGCUAAUACCGGAUAGGAGCUCCUGCUGCAUGGUGGGGGUUGGAAAGUUUCGGCGGUUGGGGAUGGACUCGCGGCUUAUCAGCUUGUUGGUGGGGUAGUGGCUUACCAAGGCUUUGACGGGUAGCCGGUCUGAGAGGGUGACCGGCCACAUUGGGACUGAGAUACGGCCCAGACUCCUACGGGAGGCAGCAGUGGGGAAUAUUGCACAAUGGGCGGAAGCCUGAUGCAGCAACGCCGCGUGCGGGAUGACGGCCUUAGGGUUGUAAACCGCUUUCGCCUGUGACGAAGCGUGAGUGACGGUAAUGGGUAAAGAAGCACCGGCUAACUACGUG
rnacentral:rRNA from 1 species